AGGUUCUGAAAUUCGGGGUUACGGUCUUGGAAUCUGCAGGUGCUCUGAUACCCUUGCUCCGGCACCCGGCUUAUGCCCACACCGGCCGGCUGGAACCUUUCGAGGAACAGAAGGGAUUCCUGGGCUCUAGCCCUACCUAGGUCUGGAGGCAGCGAUGACUCACCAGCACCCCCUCUGCCUUCGCCAAACUGCCGUCUCCGCCCACCCCAGUCUCCACGUCCGGCCGCGGCUCUCUGCUGGGGGCUCAAGGGGCUCAUCCUGAUGCCCGCAUCCCAGAGGCUUAACCUGCCCGCUCCCAGUCAUCAGGUUUGCCUGGCUCGCCUCCCGACCCGUCCCUCCGCUGAGCGGCGGAGAUGGAUGCGACAUCCCCACGGGGAUCUCUGGACUCUCCGAACAGCAGCAGCAGCGCGUGGAGGGGUCAGCCGAGCACCCCGGUGUGACAGUUUCUCUGGAGAGCUGGGAAAAGAAAUCCAACAACAGUGAGUUAGUGGUGUCAGAAGUUCCUCUUCCUAAUAUCACAAGAGCCUGGAGGGAGGCAUUCCCAGACUGCAUGGCAGGGAUUUCUACAUCCAGCAUUCUUCUCAAACAAGCCGCUGAUCUGCUUCUUGCCCUUUGAAAGCUGAUGGCUCCGCUUCCAAGUCCCGUGGCUGGCAGGCAGAUUAUGAAACGGGAUGCACCGUCAGAGACGCAGUUUACACAGCUCCCCCCUCAUGCCCUCACUCUGGGCAAACCAACCUCAUCCAUCCAUACUGCCCCGGAGGACUGGACUACAGGAGGGGAGCCUCCUGUCAGCUGGACUCCGAGCUGCGGAAACCCUGGGCAGACACUGAGCCUGCUGUCCUCUCAGCGCAAUUUAGAGAUUGUCUUGGGCCUGGCACCAGGAGCCCCGUGGAUUAAGACUGCUUUUCCGGACUCCCCAUCAAUUUCCGACUGUUUCCCUCUCCUCAGCAUUGCUUUUCCGAUAAAGUAGCCCAAGUGUGAUGGCCAGGGGUGGCUUCUUAGGACAGGGUCCCAGCGACACCAGAGCAGCUCACACAGCUUCCACUGGAAGCCACAGGAGUCCUCUUCCCAGCUCCGGCCAGGACCAACCGUGAAGUGUGUGGGUGGCAGAAAGCGUUCAUUCAAUGGUAACUGUGUGGGGAAGCACCGAGGAAUUUUAAAAGGUAAAUCAUGCUAAAAUGGCGAAUGGGGGAAAUCAAACAGUGAACAGCCUAUGGUAGGCUUCACAAUGGAAAGAGAAUUCUUGUACCCACGACUUCUCGAGCUGUUACACAGCCAAUUCCCUGUAAGUCACGCUGGUAGGGAAACACCAGCUCACUCACUUUCUUCUUUUUCCCCCUCUUUUCCUUUGCUCCUCCCCUUUCUUCAUUUCUUUUUCCCAGUAGCAUUUUUAGGAGCCAGGGAAUAUAUCCUGGUACAGUCAGCCAAGAGGUGGGGAGGGAGGGGCACCUAACACUUCCUGAGCCUUGCCCACAUGCCAGGGGCAUUAUGUAACAAAAUCUCCUUUAAUCCCCACAAGACGGGUAAUACUAUCUAUUUUUUUCCAGAUUAGGGAAGUCAGGCUUAGGUAAUAGAGUGCAAGUUUCCAAGGAGGCAGAGCUCGCAGGCGUGAGAGCCGGGAUUCCAGCUCUGAGCUCUGUGACUCUGAAGCGCAGUGUCUUCACAUCACACUGAGCUGGGGACUGCCCUCUCAAGGAACCAAUGGAGUCUGUUGGUUGUGUCCACAGAUGGGGAAAAUGGCCCGGUGGGCCCCUGGUUAGACUAGACCAGUGGUCGGCAAACUGCGGCUCUCGAGCCACAUGAGGCUCUUUGGCCCCUUGAGUGUGGCUC